UUGAUCUCAAAUCAGGUAGGACUACCCGCUGAACUUAAGCAUAUCAAUAAGCGGAGGAAAAGAAACUAACAAGGAUUCCCCUAGUAACUGCGAGUGAAGCGGGAAGAGCUCAAAUAUAAAAUCUGGCGUGCCUCUGGCCGUCCGAGUUGUAGUCUGGAGAAGCGUUUUCCGUGUUGGACCGUGUAUAAGUCUCUUGGAACAGGGCGUCAUAGAGGGUGAGAAUCCCGUCUUUGACACGGACUACCAAUGCUUUGUGAU
rnacentral:rRNA from 1 species